UAACACUGAGAGAUGAUGACGAGGCUCUACGGAGCUGAAGUAACCGAUACCACACUUCCAGGAAAAGCCACUAAGCUUCAGGUUUAUCUAAACCGUACUGAAAACCGACACAGGUGGUCAGGUAGAGAAUACUCAGGCGCUUGAGAGAACUCGGGUGAAGGAACUAGGCAAAAUAGCACCGUAACUUCGGGAGAAGGUGCGCCGGCGUAGAUUGUAAGGGCUUGCCCCUGAAGGUUGAACCGGUCGAAGAUACCAGCUGGCUGCAACUGUUUAUUAAAAACACAGCACUCUGCAAACACGAAAGUGGACGUAUAGGGUGUGAUGCCUGCCCGGUGCUGGAAGGUUAAUUGAUGGUGUAAUCGAAAGAGAAGCUCCUGAUCGAAGCCCCAGUAAACGGCGGCCGUAACUAUAACGGUCCUAAGGUAGCGAAAUUCCUUGUCGGGUAAGUUCCGACCUGCACGAAUGGCAUAAUGAUGGCCAGGCUGUCUCCACCCGAGACUCAGUGAAAUUGAAAUCGCCGUGAAGAUGCGGUGUACCCGCGGCUAGACGGAAAGACCCCGUGAACCUUUACUAUAGCUUGACACUGAACAUUGAAUUUUGAUGUGUAGGAUAGGUGGGAGACUUAGAAGUAGUCACGCCAGUGAUUAUGGAGUCGUCCUUGAAAUACCACCCUUUAACGUUUGAUGUUCUAACGAAGAUUACGAAACGUGGUCUCGGACAGUGUCUGGUGGGUAGUUUGACUGGGGCGGUCUCCUCCCAAAGAGUAACGGAGGAGCACGAAGGUUUGCUAAUGACGGUCGGACAUCGUCAGGUUAGUGCAAUGGUAUAAGCAAGCUUAACUGCGAGACAGACAAGUCGAGCAGGUACGAAAGUAGGUCAUAGUGAUCCGGUGGUUCUGAAUGGAAGGGCCAUCGCUCAACGGAUAAAAGGUACUCCGGGGAUAACAGGCUGAUACCGCCCAAGAGUUCAUAUCGACGGCGGUGUUUGGCACCUCGAUGUCGGCUCAUCACAUCCUGGGGCUGAAGUAGGUCCCAAGGGUAUGGCUGUUCGCCAUUUAAAGUGGUACGCGAGCUGGGUUUAGAACGUCGUGAGACAGUUCGGUCCCUAUCUGCCGUGGGCGUUGGAGAAUUGAAAGGGGCUGCUCCUAGUACGAGAGGACCGGAGUGGACGCACCACUGGUGUUCCGGUUGUGUCGCCAGACGCAUUGCCGGGUAGCUAAGUGCGGAAGAGAUAAGUGCUGAAAGCAUCUAAGCACGAAACUUGCCUUGAGAUGAGUUCUCCCUGUCUUUAAGACAGUAAGGGUUGUUUAAGACUAAGACGUAGAUAGGUCUGGUGUGUAAGCGGUGCGAGCCGUUGAGCUAACAGAUACUAAUUGCCCGAGAGGCUUAACU
rnacentral:rRNA from 1 species